UUGCGGCCAUAUCACGUUGAAACACCGGUUCUCGUACGAUCACCGAAGUUAAGCAACGUCGAGCUUGAUCAGUACCUGAGAUGGGUGACCGUUUGAGAGUAGCA
rnacentral:rRNA from 1 species